rnacentral:rRNA from 1 species
UACGAAGGGUGCAAGCGUUACUCGGAAUUACUGGGCGUAAAGCGUGCGUAGGUGGUUUGUUAAGUCUGCUGUGAAAGCCCCGGGCUCAACCUGGGAAUGGCAGUGGAUACUGGCAAGCUAGAGUGCGGUAGAGGGUAGUGGAAUUCCCGGUGUAGCGGUGAAAUGCGUAGAGAUCGGGAGGAACACCAGUGGCGAAGGCGGCUACCUGGACCAGCACUGACACUGAGGAGCGAAAGCCAGGGGAGCAAACGGG